UACGUAGGGUGCAAGCGUUAUCCGGAAUUAUUGGGCGUAAAGAGCUCGUAGGCGGUUUGUCGCGUCUGCUGUGAAAACUGGAGGCUCAACCUCCAGCCUGCAGUGGGUACGGGCAGACUAGAGUGCGGUAGGGGAGAUUGGAAUCCUGGUGUAGCGGUGGAAUGCGCAGAUAUCAGGAGGAACACCGAUGGCGAAGGCAGAUCUCUGGGCCAUUACUGACGCUGAGGAGCGAAAGCGUGGGGAGCGAACAGG
rnacentral:rRNA from 1 species